rnacentral:misc_RNA from 1 species
AAAAUAAUCCUACCCUUUGUGAAUUUUGUUUGUUUGAAUAAUUUUUUUUUUUUAAAAAAUUAUAGGAGUCUUUCCCUUUAGAGUUCGCUUUUGAGUUUGUAAAAGAAUUUGAAAACAUCUAAAGGGGAUGGUCAAUAAUUUUUUUUUGAAAAAAGACAUUUUUUAAAAUUAAACUUUUUGUAUUCAUUUGUCUAAAAAUUAUUUUUAUAAUAUAAAAACAACUUUUGACAAUGGAUCUCUUGGUUCUCGCAACGAUGAAGAACGCAGCAAAAUGCGAUAAGUAGUGUGAAUUGCAGAAUACGUGAAUCAUCGAAUCUUUGAACGCAUAUUGCGCUUUUUUAGUUUACUAAAAAAGUAUGUCUGUUUGAGUAUCAGUAAAAUAUUCUCAUAAAAAUCAUUGUAUUUUUAUGGUUAUGAGUGUUUUACAACGAUACAAGUUGUAUCACUUUAAAUUUUUUUUAAUAUUGAAAUUUUUCUAAUUUUAAUAAUUAAAAUUGGAUAAAAUUUUCCCGUCAAAAGGAAUAACCUAAACAAUUUUAAAUGAUUAAUUUUAGCAAAAUUUUCGUAAAAAAGGAAAAUUUUUAUUAAAAUAACUUGAUCUCAAAUCAGAUAAGAGUACCCGCUGAACUUAAGCAUAUCAAUAAGCGGAGGAAAAGAAACUAACAAGGAUUCCUUAGUAACGGCGAGUGGAGCGGGAAGAGCUCAAAUUUGAAAUCUUCAAGGUUUUACCUUGACGAAUUGUAGUUUAAAGAAGUGUUUUCUGUUGAAGUUUUGGUAAAAGUUCUUUGGAAUAGGACAUCAUAGAGGGUGAGAAUCCCGUAUUUGACCAUUAUUUUCAGCUGUGUGAUACACUUCAGAGAGUCGGAUUGUUUGGGAAUGCAGUCCAAAAUGGGUGGUAAAUUUCAUCUAAAGCUGAAUAUUGGCGAGAGACCGAUAGCGAACAAGUACCGUGAGGGAAAGAUGAAAAGAACUUUGAAAAGAGAGUUAAACAGUACGUGAAAUUGUCAAAAGGGAAGCGUUUGACACCAGUGUUGUUUUCUCGAAAAUCAAUUAAAAAGGCUCGAUUUUGUGUUGCUAUUGACCUUAAAAGCUGCACUGACAUCUUUUCGUGCUUUUUUAAUGCACUUUUCGUUUAACAAGUCAACAUCAGUUUCUUUUGUUGUAAAAGGGUCAUUGGAAGGUGGCUUCUCUUUCGGAGAAAGUGUUUAUAGCCUUUGAUCUCUGCAAUCGGAGAGACUGAGGUCUGCAGCGUAGAUCUUCGGGUUAGAUACAUUUGUGCUAAGUUAUAGCUUUUUAUAGACAACUUGUUGACUAUAUUGGUCUUGUAACUUACUCGCUUAUGCUAUUU